rnacentral:rRNA from 1 species
AACGAACGCUGGCGGCGCACAUAAGACAUGCAAGUCGAACGGACUUAACCAUUAGUUUACUAUUGGAGCGGUUAGUGGCGGACUGGUGAGUAACACGUAAGCAACCUGCCUAUCAGAGGGGAACAACAGUUAGAAAUGACUGCUAAUACCGCAUAUGCCAUAAGCAUCGCAUGAUGCAAGUGGGAAGGGAGCAAUCCGCUGAUAGAUGGGCUUGCGUCUGAUUAGAUAGUUGGUGGGGUAACGGCCUACCAAGUCGACGAUCAGUAGCCGGACUGGGAGGUUGAACGGCCGCAUUGGGACUGAGAUACGGCCCAGACUCCUACGAGAGGCAGCAGUCGGGAAUAUUGCGCAAUGGAGGAAACUCUGACGCAGUGACGCCGCGUGCAGGAAGAAGGUUUUCGGAUUGUAAACUGCUUUAGACAGGGAAGAAAAGAGACAGUACCUGUAGAAUAAGCUCCGGCUAACUACGUGCCAGCCGCCGCAGUAAGAC